ensembl:snRNA U6 U6 spliceosomal RNA
GUACUUGCUUGGGCAGCACAUAUACUAAAAUUAGAAUGAUACGGAGAAGAUUCAUAUGGCCCCCAGGUGAGGGUGAUGCCCAAAUUCAUGAAGCAUUCCAUAUUAAA